rnacentral:tRNA from 1 species
GGUGAUUUAGCUCAGUGGUAGAGCGCUUGCCUAGCAAGCACAAGGCCCUGGGUUCCAUCCCAGCUCCG